AGUGAACGCUGGCGGUAGGCCUAACACAUGCAAGUCGAACGGCAGCACAGUAAGAGCUUGCUCUUACGGGUGGCGAGUGGCGGACGGGUGAGGAAUACAUCGGAAUCUACUUUUUCGUGGGGGAUAACGUAGGGAAACUUACGCUAAUACCGCAUACGACCUACGGGUGAAAGCAGGGGAUCUUCGGACCUUGCGCGAUUGAAUGAGCCGAUGUCGGAUUAGCUAGUUGGCAGGGUAAAGGCCCACCAAGGCGACGAUUCGUAGCCGGUCUGAGAGGAUGAUUGGGCACACUGGAACUGAGGACAGGUCCAGACCCCUAAGGGAGGCAGGAGUUGGGAAUUAUCGGCCAUGGGCGGAAGCCUGAACCAGCCAAGCCGCGUGGGUGAAGAAGGGCUUCGGGUUGUAAAACCCUUUUAUUAGGGAAGAAAAUGUGUAAGAUUAAUACCCCGCAUUUUGACGGUACCCAAAAAAAAAGCCACGGCUAACUUCGUG
rnacentral:rRNA from 1 species